UACAGAGGGUGCAAGCGUUAAUCGGAAUUACUGGGCGUAAAGCGUGCGUAGACGGUUAUGUAAGUCGGGUGUGAAGGCCCCGGGCUCAACCUGGGAAUGCCAUUCGAGACUGCAUAGCUAGGGUGCGGAAGAGGGAAGCGGAAUUUCCGGUGUAGCGGUGAAAUGCGUAGAUAUCGGAAGGAACACCAGUGGCGAAAGCGGCUUCCUGGUCCAGCACCGACGUUCAGGCACGAAAGCGUGGGGAGCAAACAGG
rnacentral:rRNA from 1 species